GGCUGAUGAAUGGCUUAAUGAUUUGUUAUUGUGCUACAUUGAGAAGGAAAUCUUUAGAAGCAUUGAUGCAAAAGAAAUCAAGAAUACAUUUCAAACCACAAAAAAUCGGAGAAUUGACUUGCCUAGACCACCGAGAAGACCUAGACAUGAUUAGUGGUUUCUUAAGAUGCUAGACUGCUAGUGGUUGGUUAUCUUAGUUCCUAGAUCUUGCCAUGUUGGUGUAUAUUGAAUUAAGGAAUUAUAUUGUGGUGUUCAAUAUUCUACGAUAUUUUAUUUGGAAGGUACCAUCUUUGAUCUUAAAAUGUACCGUUUAUUAACCUUUCGUAUCGUAUACGUGUGAUUUUCCUAUGAAAGUGUGAGAUAAA